GUGGGGAAUAUUGGACAAUGGGCGCAAGCCUGAUCCAGCAAUGCCGCGUGGGUGAAGAAGGUCUUCGGAUCGUAAAGCCCUUUCGACAGGGACGAUGAUGACGGUACCUGUAGAAGAAGACCCGGCUAACUUCGUGCCAGCAGCCGCGGUAAUACGAAGGGGGCUAGCGUUACUCGGAAUUACUGGGCGUAAAGGGCGCGUAGGCGGCUCUGUUAGGCAGGCGUGAAAUUCCUGGGCUUAACCUGGGGACUGCGCUUGAUACUGCAGGGCUUGAGGCCGAGAGAGGGUGGUGGAAUUCCCAGUGUAGAGGUGAAAUUCGUAGAUAUUGGGAAGAACACCGGUGGCGAAGGCGACCACCUGGCUCGGUUCUGACGCUGAGGCGCGACAGCGUGGGGAGCAAACAGGAUUAGAUACCCCAGUAGUCC
rnacentral:rRNA from 1 species